GUGCUGUGUGGCUACGGCACUAAAGAAUUUAGCCACCCCCUCUCUUCCCGUGGGUGUCGUAAGAGGCGACUAAGGGAUAAAACAAUUCCACUACCACCUUGGAACUUAAGAAGCCGACCGAUGGCGGGAUAACCAUCCAACUGCUGGCUUUGAAAUACACAGGCCAAAGACGGGCAGCAGCGUCUUCGGUGUGACAAAGCCAGCCCUGCGGUCACCAACCCGCCUGCCCAGCGUGGUGACUAUGGGCAACACACAUGAG
rnacentral:misc_RNA from 1 species